UACAGAGGUCUCAAGCGUUGUUCGGAAUCACUGGGCGUAAAGCGCACGUAGGCGGGUCGUUAAGUCAGGGGUGAAAUCCUGGAGCUCAACUCCAGAACUGCCCUUGAUACUGGCGAUCUCGAGUUCGGGAGAGGUGAGUGGAACUGCGAGUGUAGAGGUGAAAUUCGUAGAUAUUCGCAAGAACACCAGUGGCGAAGGCGGCUCACUGGCCCGAUACUGACGCUGAGGUGCGAAAGCGUGGGGAGCAAACAGG
rnacentral:rRNA from 1 species